rnacentral:rRNA from 1 species
GACGAACGCUGGCGGCGUGCCUAAUACAUGCAAGUAGAACGCUGAAGCGAGGAGCUUGCUCUUCUUGGAUGAGUUGCGAACGGGUGAGUAACGCGUAGGUAACCUGCCUUGUAGCGGGGGAUAACUAUUGGAAACGAUAGCUAAUACCGCAUAACAAUGGAUGACACAUGUCAUUUAUUUGAAAGGGGCAAUUGCUCCACUACAAGAUGGACCUGCGUUGUAUUAGCUAGUAGGUGAGGUAAUGGCUCACCUAGGCGACGAUACAUAGCCGACCUGAGAGGGUGAUCGGUCACACUGGGACUGAGACACGGCCCAGACUCCUACGGGAGGCAGCAGUAGGGAAUCUUCGGCAAUGGGGGCAACCCUGACCGAGCAACGCCGCGUGAGUGAAGAAGGUUUUCGGAUCGUAAAGCUCUGUUGUAAGUCAAGAACGGGUGUGAGAGUGGAAAGUUCACACUGUGACGGUAGCUUACCAGAAAGGGACGGCUAACUACGUG